rnacentral:pre_miRNA from 1 species
UCAACCCAUUUAACCUUCUAACCCAUCAAAUUAAAUGAGUUGAUGGGUUGACUCAACUCAUUUAGUAAAAUAAUUUGAGUCAACCCAUCAACUCAUUUAACUCUAAACUCAUUGGGUAAUGAGU